rnacentral:rRNA from 1 species
GAUGAACGCUGGCGGCGUGCCUAAUACAUGCAAGUCGAGCGAACAGAUGAGGAGCUUGCUCCUCUGACGUUAGCGGCGGACGGGUGAGUAACACGUGGAUAACCUACCUAUAAGACUGGGAUAACUUCGGGAAACCGGAGCUAAUACCGGAUAAUAUAUUGAACCGCAUGGUUCAAUAGUGAAAGACGGUUUUGCUGUCACUUAUCGAUGGAUCCGCGCCGCAUUAGCUAGUUGGUAAGGUAACGGCUUACCAAGGCAACGAUGCGUAGCCGACCUGAGAGGGUGAUCGGCCACACUGGAACUGAGACACGGUCCAGACUCCUACGGGAGGCAGCAGUAGGGAAUCUUCCGCGAUGGGCGAAAGCCUGACGGAGCAGCGCCGCGUGAGUGAUGAAGGUCUUCGGAUCGUAAAGCUCUGUUAUUAGGGAAGAACAAAUGUGUAAGUAACUAUGCACGUCUUGACGGUACCUGAUCAGAAAGCGACGGCUAACUACGUG